AUGCAAGCCAAGUCACAUUUCUGCAGAGUCACAAACAUACCAGCCAAAAUCUCUUUUCUCUCAGAACAUUUCCAUGGGAAGCAUAAAGUAGUUCAUAUAAAUAUGCUGACAUCUUUCAACAGCUGGAAGGACUCAUUCUGCCUGUUAACACAGCAGGGAACUGGAAGAAUCAGAACUGGAAGAAGAAGAAGUGAUUGGCAUGCUGACACACUGCUGGAAGAAUUGCAGUGGGGAACAAUUACAUUGUUCAAAGAACACUUCACAAUUGGAGGGAAGAGAAUUAUGUCAGUGCUGAAGGAUUUCACAGCCGUACUCCAAAACAAACCUGGAAAUGCACAUUAUAGCUCCUGUUGCAAAGUGUACCAUGUGCAAUUUAUUACCUCCACGUGCAUGCCCUGAACACUUUUCCCACCUUCCGAAAAGGUCAGAACCUAUCCUGUGGGCUCUUCAUCCCGCCAGGUGAGCAUCCGUAGUCACUUCAAUAUCCUUGCUAGUGACUUUUCUAGAAUCCUGGUUUCCUGUGGCCAUGCCUCUUCCACUACGCUCUGCUACCAUGAGCAAAGUCAGAAUGUGGGCCUUGACCGAUACCUUCCAGAAGUCCUAGAUCUCAAACCUUAGGCUUCUCUUUUGAGCCUAACUCCCGCUCCUUUCAUUAGUCUCAAUUCCAGACUGAACUACUGCUGAGUUCUUAUUUACUCUCACUGCAGUGCCGGGCCUUGGCUUCCUCCAAAGUCUCCUUCCAGCUUCGUGAUGUCCUUACUCCGCUUGCACCCCUGACACGACCUCCGUCAGCCAUUUCGCUUUCAUAGCACAGUGAUUCUCACCCUUUAAAGGGUCUGGCUUCUGUCCUAGUCUGUUAGGGCUGCUCUCACACGUUUCAGGCUGGAUGGCUUAUAAAGAGAAAUUUAUUUAAAUAUAUUAUUGCCAAAUUUAUUUUUGAAAACAAAUUUGUUGGCUGGGUGCGGGGGCUCACCUGUAAUCCCAGCACUUUAGGAGGCCGAGGUGGGUGGAUCAUGAGGUCAGGAGUUCAAGACCAGCCUGACCAACAUGGUGAAACCCUGUCUCUACUAAAAACACAAAAAUUAGCUGGGCAUGGUGGCAGGCAUCUGUCAUUCCAUCUACUCAGGAGGUUGAAGCAGGAGACUCACUUGAACCCGGGAGGUGGAGGUUGCAGUGAGUUGAGAUGGCGCCACUGCACUCCAGCCUGGGAGACAGAGCUAGACUCCAUCUCAGGGGAAAAAAAACACACAUACACAAAAAAACCAACUCAGAAAACAACAACAAAAAACACCAAAUUUAUUUCUCACCGUCCUGGAGGCUGAGAAGCCCAAGAUCACUCUUGGUCCUUAGAUGCCUUCUUGCCGCACCCUCACAUGGUGCAGCAAGCUCUCUGGUGCUU
rnacentral:lncRNA from 13 species